AACGCACCUUGCGCUCCUUGGUAUUCCGAGGAGCAUGCCUGUUUGAGUGUCAUUAAAUUCUCAACCCCACCGAUUUGCUUCGUGUGGUGGCUUGGACUUGGAGCGUGCUGGCGUCUCUCGACGUCGGCUCCUCUUAAAUGCAUCAGCGGAAAACCUCUUCGAUUUCCGGUCGUCAGUGUGAUAACCAUGUUACGCUGUCGCCGAUCUCAAAGUCCGCUCAUAAUCGUCCUUCGGGACAACUUUUUAUCAAUUUUGACCUCAAAUCAGGUAGGACUACCCGCUGAACUUAA
rnacentral:misc_RNA from 1 species